GUCCUGGUUUAGCCCUGGUUUAGUCCUGGUUUAGUCUUGGUUUAGUCCCGGUUCAGUCCCGGUUUAGUCCCGGUUUAGUCCCGGUUUAGUCCCGGUUUAGCCCUGGUUUAGUCCUGGUUUAGUCCCGGUUUAGUCCUGGUUUAGUCCCGGUUUAGUCCCGGUUUAGUCCCGGUUUAGUCCAGGUUUAGUCCUGGUUUAGUCCCGGUUUAGUCCUGGUUUAGUCCUGGUUUAGUCCCGGUUUAGUCCUGGUUUAGUCCCGGUUUAGUCCCGGUUUAGCCCUGGUUUAGUCCAGGUUUAGUCCCGGUUUAGUCCUGGUUUAUCCCGGUUUAGUCCAGGUUUAGUCCAGGUUUAGUCCCGGUUUAGUCCCGGUUUAGUCCAGGUUUAGUCCCGGUUUAGUCCAGGUUUAGUCCCGGUUUAGUCCCGGUUUAGUCCCGGUUUAGUCCCGGUUUAGUCCAGGUUUAGUCCCGGUUUAGUCCCGGUUUAGUCCCGGUUUAGUCCCGGUUUAGUCCCGGUUUAGUCCUGGUUUAGUCCUGGU
ensembl:lncRNA